CGGUUUUUAAGCGCACAGGAAGGAAACUAGAAAUCUCUUGAGCAGAAGGGGGAGAAAUGAAAGUCGCAGGAAACGCAUGCGCAAACCCUAGAGGCUUGGCCCAAGUGCAGUGAGACAUCUGACUGGUGUCUUAGGAAGCUCUCCUCGUCUCCCUUCCCUCCUCUCCCUCCUUAUGGCCCAUGCUCAUUCACCUCUAUCAGAAGUUCCAACAGGCUGACGUGGAUGGAGACCAGGCCUGAGAAACUCUCGUCAGGGAAUCGAAGGCCUUCUACGAAGAAUUCCAGCUCGGCUUUGCCACCUGUAUACUUUACCACAUGGAACAGCUUCCGCCGGCCGAGGAUGUGCAUGUAACGCUGGCCGAAGAACGGGUCUGGAAGGGACAUUGACUGUUAGCAAGAAAAAUAUCCAGAGAAAUUCAAACAAAGGUGAGAUGAGAAUUCUUAAAUGUUACUGGAAUAUCUGAGGACAGAAGGAGGAAGAAGAAGGAAGAGAAAAGGGGCUUGCCCUAUAGUUGAGAAAUGCAAAGCAUUUUUGUCAAUGUGAGAUACCUCUUGGUACAAGACUUCAAGCGCCAGCCCUGUCUUCAAUCAGCUGUUUGACCCUGGGCAAGUCACCAUACCUUUGUGAACCUAUUUCCUUCUUGGUGAAUGAAGGGGUUGGGGGUUUGGAGGUGGGAGGGGCUUUUGACAUUAUUUCAAUUUCUUGUUUUGCAGAGGAGGAACUGGAGCCCCAGAGAGGUGAUGUAAUUUGUCUAAGACUACAAAGUGUUAUAGGGUGGGUUAAGAGAAGGGUUCAAACUAUCUAUCUAUCUAUCUAUCUAUCUAUCUAUCUAUCUAUCUAUCUAUCUAUCUAUCUAUCUAUCU